rnacentral:miRNA from 1 species
CAACAAGUCGCAGUCUGCC